UGUGCCAAUAGUUACUGCAUGAACGGUGGGACUUGUACGAUGAGUGGUUAUUCUUACAGCUGCCAAUGUUCCACCACUCAUAAUGGCGACCGAUGUCAAAAUCUUAUCGUAAGUUUAUGGUUUUUUUUUUCGAUUCAAACUUUUAUUUAGGAAAGUUUGAUAUUAUUAAAUCAAAAAGAUAUAUUAAUACAUUAAAACAUACGAAAGUCAACUACACGGAAAUGUUGUUUGCAUCUUAGUCAGACAAAGAAUAUUCGAUAAACAAAAACUCAUUCUUAAACAGGUAAAUACUAUGAAAAGCACAUAUUUUAAAACUAUAAUAUCAAAUUGAACAGAACUAGAAAAAUCCAAUUGCACGAUCAUUUCACCAUCUAUUUACAUCUAUAUCUAUGUUUAUAUCACUAAUAUGACCAUCGACAGUCUUCGGAGGUCAGCUCGAUAGGUAAUUAGAAGGCGUCCAUACUAUAAUUAACACGGAACGAUGAUACAUAUUAUUAUGCAUAUGCCUUUUUUUGAAUAUACGAUUUAGUAUGUUAUAAAUAAAAACUUGAAAAUUUGACAACUUAUGCCCCUUUAAUGUGGAACAAUACGAAAAGUACGCAUAUUUUAAAAAAGUCCAAACAGAUUCUCAAAAAGACAAGAGUUUUAGUAUGUAAUAGGGGAGAUCUAAAUCUAAAAUAGAACGAUCAAAUUAAUACGUUCCGGAAAAAAAACAUUUUUAUCAUUUUAGAAUUAUAUUUCUUUACUACGUUUUAAGUUAUUUUUUUCUUAUGUUUUAGGAAGAAGGUUAGGCAAACAAUAUAUGGUAACAGAUCUUAUUUACACGUUGAACUAUGUGAAACCCAUUGGUGACCUUCGGUUGUAAUCAGGUCUUUGGUCGGGUUGCUGUCUCU
rnacentral:lncRNA from 1 species